rnacentral:tRNA from 1 species
GAGAGAGGCUUGCCAGCAACGAAGACUGCUAACCCUCGUUUCCUCGGUUGGACUCCGGAGCUCUCUCGCCC